CAGGAAGCCAUGAUUAUCCAGCUAAGAAGAUGAAAACGGCCGAGAAGGGACUUGGCUUAGUAGCUUAUGCGGCAGACUCCUCAGAUGAAGAGGAGGAACAUGGAGGCCAUAAAAAUGCAAGUAGCUUUCCACAGGGCUGGAGUUUGGGCUAUCAGUACCCUUCAUCACAGCCAAGAGCCAAGCAGCAGAUGCCGUUCUGGAUGGCCCCAUAAGAAAUAGGGGCAGACCUUUGAUGCUCGGUGACUCUUCUUAGCAAUAAUGCAUGCACUUGAUUAAA